AUGCACGCUGGCGGCGUGCCUAAUACCUGCAAGUCGCGCGAACAGACGAGGAGCUUGCUCCUCUGACGUUAGCGGCGGACGGGUGAGUAACACGUGGAUAACCUACCUAUAAGACUGGGAUAACUUCGGGAAACCGGAGCUAAUACCGGAUAAUAUAUUGAACCGCAUGGUUCAAUAGUGAAAGACGGUUUUGCUGUCACUUAUAGAUGGAUCCGCGCCGCAUUAGCUAGUUGGUAAAGUAACGGCUUACCAAGGCAACGAUGCGUAGCCGACCUGAGAGGGUGAUCGGCCACACUGGAACUGAGACACGGUCCAGACUCCUACGGGAGGCAGCAGUAGGGAAUCUUCCGCAAUGGGCGAAAGCCUGACGGAGCAACGCCGCGUGAGUGAUGAAGGUCUUCGGAUCGUAAAACUCUGUUAUUAGGGAAGAACAAAUGUGUAAGUAACUAUGCACGUCUUGACGGUACCUAAUCAGAAAGCCACGGCUAACUACGUG
rnacentral:rRNA from 1 species